CACGUAGGCGGCUAUUCAAGUCAGAGGUGAAAGCCCGGGGCUCAACCCCGGAACUGCCUUUGAAACUAGAUAGCUUGAAUCUUGGAGAGGCGAGUGGAAUUCCGAGUGUAGAGGUGAAAUUCGUAGAUAUUCGGAAGAACACCAGUGGCGAAGGCGACUCGCUGGACAAGUAUUGACGCUGAGGUGCGAAAGCGUGGGGAGCAAACA
rnacentral:rRNA from 1 species